AGCCGUGGAGGACGGUUUAAGGCAAUGGCAGAAUACAAAGUGAAGGCCAUAACUCCAGAGGGUGAAGUGGAAGUGUUGUGUCCUGAUGAUGUCUAUAUUCUUGAUGCUUUUGAGGAAGCUGGUGUUGACCUGCCAUACUCAUGCAGGGCUGGUUCUUGCUCUUCUUGUGCUGGGAAAGUUGUAGCAGGAACUGUGGAUCAGUCCGAUGGGAGCUUCCUUGACGAUGACCAGAUUAAUGCUGGUUGGGUUCUCACUUGUGUCGCUUAUCCUCAGUCUGAUAUUGUCAUCGAGACACACAAGGAGGAGGAGCUUGCUCCUUAAUGUUAUUUCUUUCUUUCCUGUUUCCUAAGUCCUUUGGUUUGUGGGUUGGCUUAGUUUGUUCUUCAGGACAAUAUUGUUAUGUUUUCUUGUUAAUCGAGUAAUUUUAAGGUUUGUAGUCACAAAGGGAACUCUUGUAGCUUAAUAAAAUUUUAUAUGUGG
rnacentral:misc_RNA from 1 species